UACGGGGGGGGCAAGCGUUGUUCGGAAUUACUGGGCGUAAAGGGCUCGUAGGCGGCCAACUAAGUCGGACGUGAAAUCCCUCGGCUUAACCGGGGAACUGCGUCCGAUACUGGAUGGCUUGAGUUCGGGAGAGGGAUGCGGAAUUCCAGGUGUAGCGGUGAAAUGCGUAGAUAUCUGGAGGAACACCGGUGGCGAAGGCGGCAUCCUGGACCGACACUGACGCUGAGACGCGAAAGCGUGGGGAGCGAACAGG
rnacentral:rRNA from 1 species